CCGUGGAUUUCUGUAGGUAUUGGUUGUAUAUGACUAUGCAUUGAGGAGUUGUCAGUGAUUUGAUUCGGCAAACAAAAUAUCCCGUUCAUAAUCACUGUUUAUCAUUGCUUAUGGAAGAAAUUCAAACAAACAACGGCGAUGAAAUGAAAAUAAUAAACAGGCAAUGUGAUGAAGAAACAAAUUGAUGUUCGGCUAUACGGGUCUGAUAAUACGCCGGAGUGAAUGAUAUUUUUGAAAGCAUUAGAAGUGCCAUAACGGAUAACCCUGAAAUGUUGCUGUGACACAUAGAUAGCAUUAACCUUACAUAUAAAUCAUUAAAGCGAUAUUCGAGAGGAGUGCUGAGGUGUAUUUAGCUCCAUUUGUUGUGUAACUAGAUGAACCCUCUUGGAACUGGCAUGAAACGUUGAUAAAUUGUGAUAAAAAUGUUGGUAGUAGGCGGUUCAAGGGCCUUUUCCCCCAGCAGUUAGCCAAUGGUGUCUGUUUUGUCAAGAUAGUCUUUGUCCCAUUGGCUUCUUUACUUAACCUUUUACUGUAGUGGUGUGUGUUCAAGAUGGACGUGAGCAAAGUGUUAAAGUGUUCGGUGGCUUCAAAAAUUCGUAGGAAGGGAGAUAGGUCAGGGAAGUCGAACAUCCACAAACAGAAUAAGCGCAUAAUUUAUAGUGUGUAUACGUUCUUCAAAAAUUUGUCUGAAAAUCCACAAGAGGCUGAAAAUAUAAAUUUUCACAAAGCUCAAGAACUGACUGCUAAGGCUUGUGGGAUACACCGGCGAACAGUCCAGCGAGUAUGCAGUGAAGCUUUCAAUUCUACAUCAGAUGCAGAAAUAUUUUCUUCAUCAGUGGAGGAAUAUACAAGAAAAUACCAAGCUCCUGGAGCAUAUGACACCUUUUGGAAAUCAAGUGAAGGCUCUGAAAAGCGCAAACGUUCAGGACCAACGGCUCGCAAGAGUAUGAAAACUAGUGUGUCUGCAGAGCAGUUUGCUGCAAUGGGUUUACGAACAGGGACAGGACAUAAACAGUCUUCAGGCAAACAGACACAGAACUUGGAACCAAUUGCACACAUAGACCUUCCAGACAUUUCGAUAAAGGAAGAAGAUGAACCUGAAAGUGAUGAAGUGAUCAUACUUCCGUAAUAUAUAUCCUGUAGUUACUGUUGAAUGGAUACAUUGUCUUGCGUUAGGAAGUUUUAAUACGUUUAACUAGUCAGGCAAAUUAAGUUUCUGAUAGUGCUUGUUUUUAUUUGAUUAUUUCAUAGGAAAGUUAGCAUUACAUAAAUUGCAAAUUGCCUUAGUUUCAACGAAAUAAUUAAUAUUCUUAAGAUAUGAUUCACAUCAAUAAACAGACACUAUGCUAUUGGUGUUUCAAGUUCUGAAUGUGCAAGCAUUUGUAAUUUAGCAAGAGCUAAAAGAACCAUAAAAAUGUGAAGAAGUGAUGCUUAAAAGGAUAUUUGUCUUGCACAUGAUCAAACGGAUUCCUGUUGGUGUCUAUGCAUCCGUCUCCCCUGAGCCCUCUUCCUCCAUGAUGGGCACAAUGAGGUUAUCCUUGGACAUGAGGUUGUACUUUGUGACGAACGCCGUGAAUCGCCGGCACAGAUAUGUUUCAUUCUGGAACACAGAUAUAAAUCGUAUGUAUUGCACAGAAGUACAAAACAUUUUUUAUUAGUUUAACAUUUCAUGCUAUUGUGAUAAGCAUAACCAAAAUAGUGAUGUCAACUGGCAAGGAAACAUUCAUAGUCUAUAUAACAAGUUAGGAUAAAAUAUCCCCAUGUGGCUUUAGUAGUAAUGAUUAUGAUACUCAAAACACUUGAUGAAUUUGCACAUACCAGUUAGAUAUGUAUCUUGGGGUGUGUGAAUUUUUGAAUAAUUAAAAAAUGUCCAGAGGGUGUUAACAUUAUUAGGGACAUUGUGUGCAUUUCCAUAAUUGUUAUAUACUGCAUGUGAUCAUACUAAACUAUUCAUAUUGACAACUAAAAGUAAAACUCCACUAAAUUAACCUUUGUUUUGACAGAAGUGUAAGUUCUGGCCUAGGUGCAUCAUGUGUAAAUGGUAUUGGUAUUAGUAUACAUGUAUUUAUUACUUACAGACUUCAUGCUAAUGAAAAUAAAAUUGGAAAUGACAGCCA